rnacentral:lncRNA from 1 species
GUUGAUUCAGAAUGGUGAAAUCUCUCAAAAUUAAAUGAGAGAAUUUCAAGUUUUCGGAGCAUAUAUUUAGUGUUAUAUAUCACUAGUAUUAAACAGCUCCAUGUGUAUACAAUUGCAUCGGCGUUACCUGUCUCCUGGAACAUUGUUUUUCAAUUGUUUUUAGUAGAAAGUUGUUGGUGAUGGAUGUGAUGAUAUUUCCCCAGAUGAUCGAAUCUGAAAUAACUGAGCGCUCAUUUUAUGUUUCUCCUUUCUGAGAAAUUCAAGCCAGAAAUCUGAUCCAUCUUUAUAAUUGUGUUUUGUUUAAUUAUAAAUAUUUGAAUUUUAUUAUGUGUUUUGAUAAGCAGUGAGUGGAAAUGAUGAUUAUUUCCCCAGAUGAUCCAAGUUGAUUGUACUGAGCGCAUUUAAAUAUAUUCUCUAUUACUUUAUAGAGAAUCCAAGCCAGAAAUCUGAUCCUAUCUCUGUUUAUCUUGAUAAAGAUAUGAGUUCCUCUGAUGAUGAUUUAAAUAAAACUUUUGUUCUUCCGAGGAUGAUAUUCGUCUAUGCGGAAACAAUUAUUGGAGACCUGAACUGAAGAGGC